UCCGGUGUAGUUCCAAUAACCAGCCACAGGAAAGCGCUGUUUAAAACGAUACAGUUAGCUCUGACGAAAAAAAAAAACAAAAACAAAAUCCAGUGUAGUUCCAAUAACCAGCCACAGGAGAGCGCUGUUUAAAACGACACAGUUAGCUCUGACGAAAAAAAAAACAAAAUCCAGUGUAGUUCCAAUAACCAGCCACAGGAGAGCGCUGUUUAAAACGAUACAGCUAGCUCUGACGAAAAAAAAAUCCAGUGUAGUUCCAAUAACCAGCCACAGGAGAGCGCUGUUUAAAACGAUACACCUAGCUCUGACCAAAAAAAAAAUAAUCCAGUGUAGUUCCAAUAACCAGCCACAGGAGAGCGCUGUUUAAAACGAUACAGCUAGCUCUGACGAAAAAAAAAAUCCAGUGUAGUUCCAAUAACCAGCCACAGGAGAGCGCUGUUUAAAACGAUACAGCUAGCUCUGACGAAAAAAAAAAAUCCAGUGUAGUUCCAAUAACCGGCCACAGGAGAGCGCUGUUUAAAACGAUACAGUUAGCUCUGACGAAAAAAAAAAACAAAACAAAAUCCAGUGUAGUUCCAAUAACCAGCCACUGGAAAGCGCUGUUUGAAACGAUACAGUUAGCUCUUACGAAAAAAAACAAAAAUAAUAAAAAUCCAGUGUAGUUCCAAUAACCAGCCACUGGAGAGCGCUGUUUGAAACGAUACAGUUAGCUCUUACGAAAAAAAACAAAAAAACAAAAAUAAUAAAAAUCCAGUGUAGUUCCAAUAACCAGCCACUGGAGAGCGCUGUUUGAAACGAUACAGUUAGCUCUUACGAAAAAAAAACAAAAAUAAUAAAAAUCCAGUGUAGUUCCAAUAACCAGCCACUGGAGAGCGCUGUUUAAAACGAUACAGUUAUCUCUGACAGAAAAAAAAAAAAAAAAAAUCAGAUGCUGUUCUGCCAACCUGCCACAGGACAGCGCUGACUUCCUUCAGGUCAUUAAAAUAUGUCUACUCUGUUUCAGCCUCUGCUGUACAGGCUCCUCUCCUGCUCCACACAACUCUACCUCCUCCUGUAGCCCCCUCCUCCACCUCUGUUACUGCUGUUUCUGCUAUCCCAUCCUGGGCGAGCCUACAGAUGACUAGCUCUUGGAGGCCGAUCCAGAAAACCCCACCCCUCCAGAGAUCCUUACCGGGGUUCAUCCAGCAGAGGUACUAGAGUCCUCUCCAACCUGGUUGGCCACACCACCACCACCAGCUGUACCAAGGCUUCCCCCUCCACCUGCUGGCAGUGCUGAGGUGCUUGUGAAUGUACUCACACACCACCUCACACAUGGCCACUUGGGUAACUAUGUUGGUAGUCUGGGCAGGUCCUCAUCAGCAUCCUCAAGCUCAGCUCCGAAGGCCUGUCAGGGCGGCAGCCGGACUGAUGAGGCGGUACCGACUUGCCGGGGUACCUGCCCCCCAGCUCAUGUAUGUGGACCGUGACUGCUGCACCUGGGACGGCUUGUUGAAGACAGCUGCCUUGUUUCCGGAGUGGGGUCAGCUCGUAGUCCAGCUCAACAUUUGGUUGCAUCAGGUGUCACCACGGACAGCCACGAGCUGUACCCCACCGUCAUGAGGCAGCUGUCUCAAUGCAUCUUCGAGAUGGAUCCCAGAGAUGCACGCCAUCUCACAGAGGCUAAGCGGUCUGAGCUGGAGGGGAAGCACGGGAUGGUCAGCCUGAUCCGAUCCAGCGAAUCUCCAGGGAGGAGUGGAGGCUCCACUGCAGACGCGUGGAGAUGGCGCUCCUCAUCCAGGACCUCUUCAACACCUUUGGCGGACCAGCAGGCUUGGACACCCUGGAUGUCCCGUUGCUCGAUGCUCUCCAUAUCCAGGAAAUGUGGAGCACACAGAGGCGCCACCUCAGCUGCAUUCAGGACCCACCGGGGGUGCAGCUCAAUACUGAAACCAGCUGGCUGACGAAAGGCGGGGUCAACCUGCCGGUCUAUUGCUGUGCGAGGGGCUCGACUUCUCUGGAGUCCUUCGCCACUGCCCAACAUGCCUUUCCUGAGGCUCUCGGAAGCCAGACUCUACUUCCCAUCAUUCCUCAGACUCUGAGGAGGAGGUCCAGACGGCCAGCCAGGAUACCAGCAUGUUCUGAAGCUGGCCAAGGCCCUGGUGGAGGUCAGGAGUCUUCAGGGUCUACCUGAAAGCAGGGUAGACAGACUCAUUGCGCUCUGGCAACGCCUGCCAGAGCGUGAUAAACAGUGAGUCGUCUACCCUGCCAGACACCAGGAGAGGCUGACCAUCCCUGCUCCUUCCAUCGCCAGCUAGCCCAUACCUGCUUUAACAGGGCUGUCCUUGUCCCAUCUGAACCAAGGACAGCCCUUUGACUUUAACACCCCUGAGGUAGAGCCAGGUCCAUCCUCAAGGGGUCUGCCACCUCCUCCUCCUGCCUCUUCCUCCCUCCCUUCCUUCUCUCCUGGCUCAACGUAAUCAAGCUGUGCCACCUUCUUUUCCGGUACCUAGGACCACAGCCUGCAGAAGAGGAGCCUCCACCCGGAGCCAGACCCCGCCAGCGGCCGCUGCAGUACACCUGCAAAAAGUGUGGCCAGUCAAAGAGUCUGGACACUGGCCACACUAGAAUUGCUGGUGUAGCGUACUGCGCGGCUGUUGGUGGAAAGACUGUGUACAAGUGGAGGGGGUAAAUGGGGAAAAAAAGGACCAGGGAGAAUAAUUGUUCAUAAUUAACCCUAACUGUAAAUAUUGAUAUAUCAUAUAGAUAUAUGAUUUCAUACAAUUUCUAUACUUUAUAUAAUUUGUAUAUUUUAUUUUAA